rnacentral:rRNA from 1 species
UACGUAGGGGGCAAGCGUUGUCCGGAUUUAUUGGGCGUAAAGAGCGUGUAGGCGGCCAGGUAGGUCUGCUGUGAAAACUCGAGGCUCAACCUCGAGACGUCGGUUGAAACCACCUGGCUAGAGUCCGGAAGAGGAGUGUGGAAUUCCCGGUGUAGCGGUGGAAUGCGCAGAUAUCGGGAGGAACACCCGUGGCGAAGGCGGCGCUCUGGGACGGUACUGACGCUGAGACGCGAAAGCGUGGGGAGCAAACAGG